rnacentral:rRNA from 1 species
UACGUAGGGUGCAAGCGUUAAUCGGAAUUACUGGGCGUAAAGCGUGCGCAGGCGGUGAUGUAAGACAGAUGUGAAAUCCCCGGGCUCAACCUGGGAACUGCAUUUGUGACUGCAUCGCUGGAGUACGGCAGAGGGGGAUGGAAUUCCGCGUGUAGCAGUGAAAUGCGUAGAUAUGCGGAGGAACACCGAUGGCGAAGGCAAUCCCCUGGGCCUGUAUUGACGCUCAUGCACGAAAGCGUGGGGAGCAAACAGG